rnacentral:rRNA from 1 species
GACGAACGCUGGCGGCGUGCUUAACACAUGCAAGUCGAGCGGUAAGGCCCUUUCGGGGGUACACGAGCGGCGAAACGGGUGAGUAACACGUGGGUGACCUGCCCUCAGCUCUGGGAUAAGCCUGGGAAACCGGGUCUAAUACCGGAUAUGACUCCAUGACGCAUGUUGUGGGGUGGAAAGCCUUGUGCGGCUGAGGAUGGGCCCGCGGCCUAUCAGCUUGUUGGUGGGGUGAUGGCCUACCAAGGCGACGACGGGUAGCCGGCCUGAGAGGGCGACCGGCCACACUGGGACUGAGACACGGCCCAGACUCCUACGGGAGGCAGCAGUGGGGAAUCUUGCGCAAUGGGCGAAAGCCUGACGCAGCGACGCCGCGUGAGGGAUGACGGCCU